rnacentral:rRNA from 1 species
UGAAUACGAGACGCUAAGGCGUCGAAGUAGUGUAUGUCAUACUUCCAAGAAAAGCUUGCACCGUCAUAGAUAAAAAACGCCUGUACCAUAACCGACACAGGUGGGUAGGUAGAGUAUACUAAGGGGCGCGAGAUAACUCUCUCUAAGGAACUCGGCAAAAUAACUCCGUAACUUCGGGAGAAGGAGUGCCUUAUUCGUAAGGUUGCAAUAACAAGAUCCAAGCAACUGUUUAUCAAAAACACAGGUCUCCGCUAAGUCGUAAGACGAUGUAUGGGGGCUGACGCCUGCCCAGUGCCAGAAGGUUAAAGAAGUUGGUUAGCAAUUGCGAAGCUGAUAACUGAAGCCCUGGUGAACGGCGGCCGUAACUAUAACGGUCCUAAGGUAGCGAAAUUCCUUGUCGGGUAAGUUCCGACCCGCACGAAAGGCGUAAUGAUUUGGAUACUGUCUCGGAGAGGGGCUCGGUGAAAUAGACUUGUCUGUGAAGAUGCGGACUACCUGCACCAGGACAGAAAGACCCUAUGAAGCUUUACUGUAACUUGAAAUUGAAAUUGGACUUUAUUCGCGCAGUAUAGGUGGGAGGCGUUGAUUAUAAUCUUGUGGGAUUAUUGGAGCCAUCAGUGAGAUACCACUCUUGUAAUGUUAGAUUUCUAACUUUGAAUCAUUAUCUGGUCAAAGAACAGUUUCAGGCGGGCAGUUUGACUGGGGCGGUCGCCUCCUAAACGGUAACGGAGGCGUACAAAGGUUUCCUCUGAACGGUUAGAAAUCGUAUCUAGAGUGUAAAGGCAUAAGGAAGCUUGACUGUGAGACCUACAAGUCGAGCAGGGACGAAAGUCGGUCUUAGUGAUCUGACGGUACUGAGUGGAAAGGCCGUCACUCAACGGAUAAAAGUUACUCUAGGAUAACAGGCUGAUCUCCCCCAAGAGUUCACAUCGACGGGGAGGUUUGGCACCUCGAUGUCGGCUCAUCGCAUCCUGGGGCGGUAGUACGUCCCAAGGGUUGGGCUGUUCGCCCAUGAAAGCGGUACGCGAGCUGGGUUCAGAACGUCGUGAGACAGUUCGGUCCAUAUCCGGUGUAGGCGUUAGAAUAUUGAGAGGAGCCUUCCUUAGUACGAGAGGACCGAGAAGGACAUACCUCUGGUGUACCAGUUAUCGUGCCAACGGUAAACGCUGGGUAGCUAUGUAUGGAGUGGAUAACCGCUGAAAGCAUCUAAGUGGGAAGCCCACCUCAAGAUAAGUAUUCUCAC